rnacentral:rRNA from 1 species
CAGCAGCCGCGGGAAAACGUAGGGUGCGAGCGUUAAUCGGAAUUACUGGGCGUAAAGCGUGCGCAGGCGGUUGUGUAAGACAGGUGUGAAAUCCCCGGGCUUAACCUGGGAACUGCGCUUGUGACUGCACAGCUAGAGUAUGGCAGAGGGGGGUGGAAUUCCACGUGUAGCAGUGAAAUGCGUAGAUAUGUGGAGGAAUACCGAUGGCGAAGGCAGCCCCCUGGGAUAACACUGACGCUCACGCACGAAAGCGUGGGGAGCAAACAGGAUUAGAUACCCGCGUAGUCCCUGUCUCUUAUAC